GCAACAGCUCAAAUUUGAAAUCUGGCUCACGCCCGAGUUGUAAUUUGUAGAGGAUGUUUCGGGUGAAGCCGCGGUCCAAGUCCCUUGGAACAGGACGUCAUAGAGGGUGAGAACCCCGUACCUGGCCGCCGGUGCCCCCCGCUGUGAAACUCCUUCGACGAGUCGAGUUGUUUGGGAAUGCAGCUCUAAAUUGGUGGUAAAUUCCAUCUAAAGCUAAAUACCGGCCAGAGACCGAUAGCGCACAAGUAGAGUGAUCGAAAGAUGAAAAGCACUUUGAAAAGAGAGUUAAAAAGUACGUGAAAUUGUUGAAAGGGAAGCGCUUGCGGCCAGACUUGCCUGCAGUUGCUCAGCCCGCCUUUUGGCGGGUGCACUCUUCUGCAGUCAGGCCAGCAUCGGUUUGGGCGGUCGGAUAAAGGCGUUGGGAACGUGGCCUCCCUUCGGGGAGGUGUUAUAGCCCGGCGCGCAAUGCGACCAGCCCGGACCGAGGUUCGCGCUUUGCUAGGAUGCUGGCGUAAUGGCCGUAAGCGGCCCGUCUUGAAACACGGACCAAGGAGUCUAACAUCUAUGCGAGUGUUUGGGUGUCAAACCCGUGCGCGUAAUGAAAGUGAACGGAGGUGGGAACCGCAAGGUGCACCAUCGACCGAUCCUGAUGUCUUCGGAAGGAUUUGAGUAAGAGCAUAGCUGUUGGGACCCGAAAGAUGGUGAACUAUGCGUGAAUAGGGUGAAGCCAGAGGAAACUCUGGUGGAGGCUCGCAGCGGUUCUGACGUGCAAAUCGAUCGUCAA
rnacentral:rRNA from 1 species